AUUUUUAUAGUUGAAUUACAACGGCAGUUUUUCGUAUUGUUGGUCUUGGAUUGAAAGCCAAGUAAGAAUA
rnacentral:tRNA from 1 species